GUACUUGGAAGCAGGACCCUCUGAUAUCUCAUCUUCCAUUGCCUGUGUAUGGCUUGGAAUUGCUUUCCAUACACCACUGCUGAGUUCCUGGGCACCAUGGGUACAUCCGGCAACGUCUGCACACAUAUUUCAACGUCACAACUGGGAUGAGAGGAGCAAAGCUAUUGGCAUCCUGGGAAGCCAGGAAUGCUGCUAAACAUCUUACAGUGCAUAGGACAGCCCCCCCACAACAAAGAAUUACGUGACCCAAAAUGUCAACAGUGCCACUACUAAGAAACCCUACCAUAGAGGUCAAGCAAAAGCCCUCCUUUUCACUGCCCAAUAACAAAAGCUUGCUAAAGAAAUUAGUAGCCUAAAAAGACUGCAAGUAGAAUUCAAGCUUUUUCGAGUGCUUAAAGUCACCUGAUUUGCUUUCAUCUAAGAGUGGUCUUCAUUAUUGUUAUUAUUAUUCCACUCUGUAAUCACCCAGAAUGCUUUGCUCAUGCUAUGUGUUUGACCACUUGGUGAAUUUAAUUGCUUAAAUGCUUUCUCUUCUUAGAGAUGCUUUUGUCUAUAUUACAGGGUAGGAACUAAAUUUAAUUCCCUAGUCAUAGGACAAAUAUUUACCACAAACAAUAGCAUUCCAACAUUUUGAAUCCCAAACUGCCAGAAUGGCUUCUAUAAAAGAAAUUGUUAGCAGGAAUGCUUGGUUGGUAUUUAAAGACCCAAUUUCUCAUAAGCCAGACAGCACACACACAAAUUACCGCUUUCUUCACUUGACAACUGCUGUUUUCAUCUUGACACAUCCACUUAAAAAUUAUUUCUGACAAGAAUCUUAACAGCUUUAAAUCAGCCUAAUUAAAGGUAAUAUAUUUUUGCUAGGAAAGUGUUUGAAAUUAUACAGUAUUGCACAGUUCUCUUUUCAAAUCAAGUUACUGAGUGCAUUAGUAAGCGCCAAAAACACCUCCACUGACAUAUGGCCUUCUAUCAAAGGGAAACAGUUCUAAUAUUCCUGUGGACGUUCCUAACUGCAAAGUUAUAGGUGGCAAAAAUGGUUGGAGAGUUUUUCUGUACUGGAUCAGCACUUGGAUCUCAAAUAUUACUUUAUAUAGACAUGGUAGGCAGCUUCUGAUAGGGUUCCCAGGGAUCCCCACCUCCUGCCACCCACACCCUUGAGUAAUCCCCUUCCCAUGAGUAUAAACGGGACCUGGUGACUCGCUUCUAACAAAAAUAAUAGAGUGCAGAUGAUGGGGUGUCAUUUCCAUGUUGAGGUUACAGAAGAGUCUGACCUCCAUCCUGCCAGCUUUGUCUCUGUUGCUGACAUUCUCUCAUACUCUCUCGCUUCUUUGCUGCCGUGUUGUCAGUUAACCUAUGGAGAGAACCACACAGCAAGAAACUGAGGGUGGUCAACAGCAUAUGAGGAAGUGAAACUCAGUCCAACAACCCACCAGGAACUGAAUCCUGCCAACAAACACAGGAGUCACAUUGGAAGCAAAUCUUUCCCAGCUAAGCCUUGAGAUAUCUGCAACCCUGUGAGAGACCCAAAGCCAGAGGACCCAGCUAAGUUGCACCUGGAUUCCUGAUCCUUGGAAUCUGUAAAAUAAUAUGUUGUCAUUUUCAGCUGCUAAGUUUUGGGGACAAGAAUGACACCCACAUCCUCUGGAGAAGAUGGUUAGGGAAAUCAGACUGGCUGAAGACUCUGGUGAGAGAUGCUGCGGUACCCACUGGGGUGUGUCUGAUGAAAGCCUUCUCUUGGCAGUUGUGUUCAUGCACGGAAAAGCAGACUCCUUGAUACUGUGCUGUUGAGCGUUGACAUCAAAAAAAGAAAAACCAAACACCAAAACCUAUAUCCUUAAGACACUCUACUUCUUCAUGCUUGAUUUACUCCACUUAAGUUCAGUCCAUGCUGGCAUUUCUAUAUUAAAUUGUUUUUCCCGCUGUCUUAUAUUUUAAAGCCCUUUGAGAAGUCUGACA
rnacentral:lncRNA from 1 species